AUUCCAUUACACAACCGUUCCACUUAAAAGCCCGAUUUCCCAACGAUUUUUCACAUGUUAAAUGCUGUAAAUAUAGCCCAAACUAGCUUUGAAAUUUAGAAAUAGAAUAUUUAAAGAUUCUCCAGUGACAUGAUGCUCCUGGAUGGCUUUGGGUCUGAGAUGCUGUUUCUUCUAUCCAGCACCGUGGCCUCUCAGACAAGUGCUGGGAUCAGGAAAAGCAGGCUAGGAACACCAUCCACAAUGUCGCUGCUUCCAAGCAUGAGGAAGUAUGCCCCCCCCCCCUUCAUGCACCUGAGCUGAAAGGUUCCAGAUACAACAAGCACAUACCGAGCUCCUCGAGGAGAAAACAGUGAGAUUUUUCAAACUUGAAAAAAACAUUGAAGUCAGAGGAAUUCAGAGCAGUGUAUUCCCGGCUAUGUCCUUCAAACAUCUCAUACUCUGUGUGCACACGGUUUAUUCAAAUACAAAGUAAAAUGAUGACUUACAAA